rnacentral:tRNA from 6 species
GGGGCUAUAGCUCAGUUGGUAGAGCGUCUCGUUCGCAAUGAGAAGGUCAGGGGUUCGAUUCCCCUUAGCUCCA